AAGGAUGCGUGAGCACAAAGAAAAGACCCUCAGAGGACACAGUGAGAAAAUGGUUAUCUGCAAGCCAAGGAGAGACCAAACCUGCCGGCACCUUAAUCUUGGACUCUCAGCCUCCAGAACUAAGAUCCAACCAAGAUUCUACCAAGAAGAUCGUGGGGGAUCCAACGAGAUGAACCCUGAUGAUCUUUGUGUGGUCUCCAAAUUGUGCGGCCACAUUUGGAGGAAGCGAGAUGACUACACAGUGAAGCACAGUGAAGGGGAGGCCUGAGGAGCCACGAAGACCGGUAGCACAUUCUGGAUUUUGUCAAGUCUUAGCCGGGUGCCCUGAGCAAGUCCCCUCGGCUGUCUUGAGCCUCAGUCUCCUUCUCUGUAAAACAGGAAUAAUAAUAACCACGUGAAUGGCACAGAGAUUUUUAAGAUGCAGUUAUUACUAUUUUUUAAACGUCAAUUGAUGCCAGGAAUAUUCUGCCAGCCCUCCAAGGGUGGUUUCAGCAGGCUUACUUCCUGGUCAUAAUCACUUCCUCCAUCCCCGGCUUCUG
rnacentral:lncRNA from 1 species